rnacentral:lncRNA from 1 species
CUUUGAAAAGACGUAUUUUCUUGCAAUCUUCUCCCCCAAGCCCCGGGAGCAGCGGGCGGUCCCGCGGGGACGGGGGUGGCGCUCUCCAGGGUCCUGCACUGAAGGCUCGGCAGCGCCGCUGGGUCAGGGCCAUGGAGCAAGAACACGGCUCUGACUUCUACACAGACCACAGCAGAAGAAGUGUGCGUGUUCAGGACACCAGGCACCAAUGAACAGACAUGUGCAUACCUGUGCAUAAGCAGGGAAGGAAAUUGUUCUCAGCUAGCGUUGCCAGGGGUCUACUUCAGCAAAUCUAGCAGGCAUAAUAUUUUUCCUUCAAUUGAGAUGAAUAUGCCUGAUAAACUUCUGAAAUAUCCCUUUGCAAGACCACCUGCCCACCAGAGAUUGCUGGGAAAGCGAUUGUGCACAGAGCAGCUACACCAGCCUGUGUUUGUUUUCUCUGCACCAGCCCUUAUGGCAACCAGAAACUGUGGUAAGGGAUGAGCCCAGAUACAAAACAUAAACAGAAAUAACAAAGCUGUUUAAAAAGGGGAACCCUAGUCAAAAUCUGAACUAAAUUGAUUUUAUUUAUGCUUCUGCAGAUCACGGCCAGGACAGAGAUGAUGGGAUGAAUGUCCCCACAAGCACACACAGUUGAACAUACAGGCAGCUUUGCAAAGGGGAAGAAGGUGAUGCCUAUAUCUGUGUCCUGAAUUCUCUCCUGCUUCAAGUUCUUGCUGCUGAGGAGUGUUUGUUAUCAGUUACAUAACCAAAACAAGCACUGUAAUUGCUUCUUUGUAUUAAUAACAAUGAAGACAUCUUUAUUACUAAAAGCAGAAUUGCCAAUCUUCCCUGUUGGCAUGAUGUCUGACAUCAAGUGGGACAAUAAUAACACAGAAAGAGAGGAAAUAAAAGCACUUUUUUCAUAUAAAAGACGGUGUAC